rnacentral:piRNA from 2 species
UAGUAGCUAAGAAAUUAAUGAUGGAAG